rnacentral:misc_RNA from 1 species
GAUGAAGAACGUAGCGAAGUGCGAUAUGUAAUGUGAAUUGCAGAAUUCCGUGGAUCAUCGAAUUUUUGAACGCAAAUUGCACUCUCUGGUAUUCCGGAGAGUAUGCCUGUUUGAGGGUCAGUAAAAUAAAAAUCGAUGUUGUUGUCAUCGUGAUAACGCGUCGGAAUUGGGUCGUCUUACCUUCGGUUAAGUGACUUAAAAUUUUUACGCGAAUUCGAAACGUAUUUAACGUUAUGUACGUUUACGAUAUUCCAAUAUAUAUUAGGUGCAGUCAUUCCUAUGAUUUGUGCUUAUAAUUUUUUUCAUUUCUUGACCUCAAAUCAGGUAAGAGUACCCGCUGAACUUAAGCAUAUCAAUAAGCGGAGGA